CACAAGCGGCGGAGCAUGCGGAUUAAUUCGAUGCAACGCGAAGAACCUUACCAAGGCUUGACAUACACCGGUAACGCCCAGAGAUGGGUGCCCCUUUGUGGUCGGUGUACAGGUGGUGCAUGGUUGUCGUCAGCUCGUGUCGUGAGAUGUUGGGUUAAGUCCCGCAACGAGCGCAACCCUCGUCCUAUGUUGCCAGCGGGUCAUGCCGGGGACUCAUGGGAGACUGCCGGGGUCAACUCGGAGGAAGUGGGAUGACGUCAAAUCAUCAUGCCCCUUAUGUCUUGGGCUUCACGCAUGCUACAAUGGCCGGUACAAAGGGCUGCGAUACCGCGAGGUGGAGCGAAUCCCAGAAAGCCGGUCUCAGUUCGGAUUGGGGUCUGCAACUCGACCCCAUGAAGUCGGAGUCGCUAGUAAUCGCAGAUCAGCAACGCUGCGGUGAAUACGUUCCCGGGCCUU
rnacentral:rRNA from 1 species